rnacentral:lncRNA from 1 species
UGUCUGUUCUAACACAUGCCAUUUGGGAUCCCUUGGAAUCUUCAUGUACAGAACUGGUUGCUGCCUCAUUGAGUCGGUGGGGACAGAAUAGCUCCUGGUUGACAGCAUGGGUUGUGCAGAAGGACGGACCCUGCAGACAUCAAUAUCUGGCUUUGAGUGGCACAAAGAAAUAAAGGAAUGUGGAUUCAGACCUCACUGGGAUGCUUGGCAAUUCUAAUUCUACCCCAGACUGCAAAUGGACACACAACUGUUGUGACUUUUGUUGAAGAGGAGAAGGAUGGUGAAGGUCUCUUUAGUCAAUAAUCUCUUUGCUGAAAUUGCUUCGGGCAGCACAGAAGCUGGAUUCAGAAGCACACAGGUCUGCGAAUGCAGGCUUCGGCCAGCCUGAUGCAAGGAAAGACUGCCAUCUCGUGGUCAGCUUAAUCCUGGCACCUUGGUGAGGGCCAGGCUGCAGAAAACCAGGCUUGGGGAGGAAAUGGUGCUGCAAACUGAUUUCUGCUGGACAGUGUGGACGCCCUUAGAAAACACCCAGAAAAGAGCUGAGUGCCCUCCAAGGUAGGCUUCAGUGAAUCCUCUGCAGGUGUGUUGUCAUCCCCUGAGCC